AGAUCUCCCGCUUCCCGCUCAAGCGACAGGUAACAGAAAGUAGAUACCAGGUUCUAAGCUGCCUGCCCGCCAGGCCUCCUGGAGCCCCCCCCUCGGCCCACGCUGGUCCUGGGCUGUGUGAGUCCUCUCUGCAGCCGGGCGGGCUCCCCUCUCCUCGUCUCUGCUCACCAUGUAGAGCCUAGGGUACUUUGGGGCACGAAACAUUCUAAAAAUCUUCAUUCAAUGCUGGUGGAAAUCAGAACGCCCCCACUUCUGGCCCAGCACUGACCCCCGGCUGUACCUCCACGCCCCGUCGCCCACGCGGCGCCAACCUGCCCCUGCUGACCCAAGCAGGUGUCCCUGGAGUCCAACGCGUCCAUGAGCUCCAACACACCACUGGUGCGCAUCGCAAGGCUGUCCUCAGGGGAGGGCCCCACGCUGGCCAAUGUCUCCGAGCUCGAGCUGCCUGCCGACCCCAAAUGGGAGCUGUCUCGGGCCCGGCUGACCCUGGGCAAGCCCCUUGGGGAGGGCUGCUUCGGCCAGGUGGUCAUGGCGGAGGCCAUCGGCAUUGACAAGGACCGGGCCGCCAAGCCUGUCACCGUAGCCGUGAAGAUGCUGAAAGACGAUGCCACUGACAAGGACCUGUCGGACCUGGUGUCUGAGAUGGAGAUGAUGAAGAUGAUCGGGAAACACAAAAACAUCAUCAACCUGCUGGGCGCCUGCACGCAGGGCGGUAGGUGCGGUAGCGGCGGUGGUGCCGGGUGGGCGGCCCUCCUGGGCCUGGCAGCCCCUCUGAGGAGCCCGUGUCCCCAGGGCCCCUGUACGUGCUGGUGGAGUACGCGGCCAAGGGUAACCUGCGGGAGUUCCUGCGGGCGCGGCGGCCCCCGGGCCUGGACUACUCCUUCGACACCUGCAAGCCGCCC
rnacentral:sRNA from 1 species